GAGGGUAUAGCUCAAGUGGUAGAGUGCAUACUUAACAUGCAUGAGGUCCUGGGUUCAAUCCCCAGUACCUCCU
rfam:Camelus ferus unplaced genomic scaffold scaffold898, whole genome shotgun sequence.